ACUAUUGUUUACAACAAUCAUUACCUUCCCCAUGUACUAAAUUUUUACAAUAGAUUUUUUCAUUGUUUUCUAACACUUCAAAGGCGGGUUAUGUUUUAUCAUGUGGUUUCCUUGUCCAAAUGACUUUUAGGAAAUACUGCAUGUGUGUUUUAGACAAAAGGAGAAACAACUGCCUUCUUCAAGACAAGAACGUGGGGCCACCCAAAUGUCAACCACUAACCAAUCCAUGGUUACCCAGUAAGUAUCGCGGGACGUGGUGAUAAGACGGCAAUUGAGUGACCAGAGUAAGAAGGCAAUUAAGUCAUCGGAUGAAGGGAUUCGUUCCUCCUGCUGCACUGCUGCUCUUCUGCUAUAACCAAUGCAGAUUUAAGAGAUUCCCAUAAUGGGAUGUGAGAUGAUGGCUGUGGAAUCUGGAACUGAAGCCAGGCAUUCCCAAAUGCAACAAAAAAGGCGUGAUGAUUCCCAUAACGAUAUAUAUCAGUUUCGCACCUCUGCAAAUUAAGUGGCGAAAUCUCUUUUCCCAGUUCCAUGCAAGUGAAUUAAAACAUGGAUCACAGGAAGAUUCAGAAGGACUGGGCACAAGUCAUGCUGUUUUCCCCCUUGCAGAGUAAUCUGCAAGUGGAUAAACUGGUGAAAUUUCAGCAAAUUCUGAUAUGGUUCCCAUAUGCUUUGUGUCAGUGGCAUCAUAAAUCUCAUUUCAUUGUGUCUGUUCAGUAUAACUUUAUUAGAUAGCUUGCCUAAUUACUCCUUAGUGAGAGGGGAGGUUUUCCGAGCCCCCCAGAGAGAAGCAAAGCAUCAAAUGAUAUCUAGCAGCUCAUCCCAGCUGUACACUUUACUAAGUCCAGAUGUGGCAAUAAAAGAAGGAUUGACAAUAGUAGGCUGCCUAAGAUAAGAGGGGAGGGAAUGACAUGUACAGCAUGUUUCCUUAUUCCUAAAUCCUGCACAUGGUUUUUAAUGACCCAGGCACAGCCCCUCCCAACAUUUAUUUGCAUCUUAAUCAGUGCUUAAUUGUAAAUAAUACAGGAUUGGCCGUGGAUAAUGAAAAACAGUUUAGGAAUUCUUUGAAGCCAUUCCCUUUUUAAAGGGGGAUAACUGAAAAUAGAACAACAACAAGCGAACAACCCAUCAGCUGUGGACCUUAUCCAGCCAAAGCAAAUACCCUUCUAUUCCCCACUAAUUUUAGUUGCAUACACAACUAAGUCUUUCCAACUGAAACCAAUGGAUUACAGAUGCAGCUAUGCAUCCUAACUUGGAAGUGGGUCUCACUGAACAUAACAGAGUUCAUGUCUGAGUAAGCAGAUUUAGGAUUGCUGUACUGAGAGCAUUUAAUUGAAGUCUCCAGCAAAGACUUGCAGCUUCACACUCGCUUUGGGUUGCCUUUGUCUGUGCAUGAUGAUUCCUGCUACACAAAGAAGUAUAGUGAUGCUGGUUGUGCAGUGAGUAGACUAAUGGUUGUACUUCUUGCUUUGAAGGAACAACAUUGUGCUCUUUGUGUGCAUCUCUUUACUCAACAGAGGAUGUUAGACAGAGAAAAAGGAAGCCACCGCGCAGUGGUUCCCAGUCUUGGGUGACCCAGAUGUUCUUGGUCAGCACAGCUGGUGGCGAAGGCUGAACCACUACUAUAGAGGAAACAGCAGAACUUGACUGUGAAGAACUUGGGAGUACCACUUCAGGUGACCACUCAUGGAGGCUGAAGAUGGUGGCCGAUCCAGCCCUGCAACAAAGACAAACGUUUAAUCUGCCUUGGCUCUAAUUACAGAUGUGCACAUUUGUGGUUCUGGACUUCAACUUGUGGAAUUCACCAGCCCUUGAUUUGUUCAAAACUGAAAGGGCCACCUCCAACCAUUAGACAAAAUGCAUCCUUUUGACGCAGCUGAUGUUUGGUAUCAUGAAAGGAUAGCAAAUUAUUAGAUCCUUCAUUUAUCCAUACAUUUUAUAAAAUUAGGUAGCAGGGGGUACCUCUGGGAUUUUUGGUUUAGGCUGCUAAAUGAACUUGUCUUGCCUUUGUGUCUAUACCUUAUAGCUGUGAUCAGAGAAGGCAGUGCUGUUUGGUGUUCUGCCUCUGGCAGCAAAAUAUUUUGGUCUUCACCAGCAACUCUUAGUACCUUUCUAAUGGACUAAAUGGUUCAAGAGUGGUAUACUGAAGGACUGUCCUUCUCUACAUGAAGAUCUAUUUGGGUCUUCAAAACAAGGUUCUUCCUUGCAUAAUUAUAUUGUAAACUGCCCAGAGAGUACUUUAGCAUUACAGGGUGGUAUAUAGAUCAAAACAACAACAACAAUAAAUGUCCUACCAUGUACCUUGGUGCCUUCUCCAUUGUGGUGUCCAGAUAUGUAUCUAGGCACACAUUUUAAUAUUGAUUUCAAAUAUGCAUUUUAUCUCAAAAUAAUAUUUAAAUGUGGAUUUCACAUAUAUAUUUGA